UUGAGUUUCAUAAAUCAUCAUGCAGUUCACGUGGACGCUAACAUCAGAUAAACUGCCUGACAACCUAGCUGUAACAAAUCAUUGCUUGUUGCUAUGCUGCUCCUCAGAGCUCGGAGAGAAAGAUUCCAUGGCGCAAUAACAACUGGUUAUGUGUCCCAGGGGCAGCCGAAGCCGUGGCUUCAGCCUUUCAGUGCCUUUGCUCAUGUUGCCGCCUUCUUUUUAGAAGAGACCCCUCUAUCCAUCACCAAAUCCAGCUCAGCCGCCUUCUGUGGAGUCUCCGUGCCCCCCACCCCCAAUCCCCCACCCCUCAGCCGCUGCUCCUGCAGCAAAAGCGUCAUGAAUCAUCCACACCUCCCGUUGCCCUAACAGGCCUCUUCUCUUAUUGUUCUUCUAGCAUGAUUGGUUUUGUUCCUUAUUAGAUGGUGAAAAGCAAUGACCUAAAUGGAGGUGGAUGGAUGGAUGGCCUUCCCGCUCCUGUACCUCAGCGGUGUAAUAUAUCUACUCGCCCAAGAUUUGAAUUUCAAACGUGGACAACAAGAGGCCGAAUUUCUACACUAAAGAAGGUUGUUAAAAUUCACAGAGCAGAGAAGCUCUUUAAUAGACAAGAUUCAUGAUGGUCUUUUCACAAGGAAGCAGAAGAUUUAUUACAAGCAUGGGUUCUAAUGUAUGUUGUGCCUGAUGCCCUCCCUCCUGAGGACAGAGAGGAGGAGAGACACCAAGGGCAUUCAGCCGGGUGCUCCCUAUACGCACUUCCCAUGUCCUUUGUUCAUGGCUGCUUGAAGCCAGGGAAGGCCAGAAUCAAGUCAUGCUGACCAUCAGCAAUUUGUUUAUGCUCUCGGAAUCUUUGCUUUUUUAAUUUUUACACCUGCAGUUUGGAAGUAAUCAUGUGUUUCUUGUCUACCCUACAAGGUUUUGCUCAGAUUGAGGCAAGGGAAAGGGAGUUAUGACCUGGUGUUAAAAUCUACCCUAAGCCAAUCCAUUGACUACAGAGAGUUCUUUUAGAAACACUAACCUGAGUCUGUGGCUUAAGCUUUAAAACAGCCUUCUACUGCCCUUACAAAAGUCCACAAUCUUCAGCAUGGCUGCAGGUCCCAGGAUGCUCUGGCCCUACUUGUCUGCCAGCCUCAACCUUCCAUGUCCUUGGCACUCCAGCUGCACUUCUUUUCAGUUCCCUU